rnacentral:ncRNA from 2 species
AUGAUCCCUGCGGGAGAGACCGGAAGCUGUCGAAAGGCAGGAUCCGGCGCCGAAGGCGCAACCGCCCCGGAACCGCUCAGGCACAAAGGGCCGCAGGGUGACG